CUGGGACUCUGCAUUUGAAAUAGGCUCCCUGGGAAAAUCCUGAGCUUUCUAAGGUUUGGGAGCUCUCUGUCCUGUGCUUGCUUUGGGGCAAGGGAGAAAGACGCCGGAGGGUGACAUGUUGAAACAGCCCUUGCUUUGAUUGGAUGGAGUGGUAUGGAAAGACAGGGAGAGGGGAGAAAUUAGGGAAGAGCGGCUGAGUGCCUGGGUGCAGGGAGGGUAGGCUGGGAGACUUGGCCUGAGAAUGAAUUGUGGCUUCAGAGCAACACCUCCACCCACCGACCAGUAAAGCCAACAAAGGUGUACAGGAGGUGCCACCAUUCUCCUGCAAAGUAGGCUUGGCCCCACAUUACAAGGCUCCAUUUAAUUCCUUCAUCCAAGCACUAGCUAGACAUUGAGCUAAGAGAGCAGAGUAUAAUACAAUUGCUGCCCUGAAAGACUUGCCCGUCCAGAAAGAGAGGCAGGCAGCAAACAUAGCAAUUACAGUCAAAAUCGCAACUGGAAUCCGAUGGAACAGUGAUGGCUCAGAGCUGAAUUGUGAAGGGUGAAUAGGAGCCCCCAGCAAGAUACAAGAGGGGGCAUUCCAGGCAGCAGGAACAUCUUGUUCAACCGCUUAGAGGCCUGAAAUAGCAAUCUCUGGAGGAAUCUAUGAGCGGUUUGGUGAGACUGAAACUUAGAGUGCGUCAGGAACGUGGUGAGAGCAGGCUGGAUGAGCAGGCAGCGUCUUGGCUAGCCGAGGAGGCUCUGCUGCUGACCUGCAUCCACCAGGCUUCUGAGGCCAUGGGGAGCCAGGCCAUUGGCCACAUGUGUCUGAUCACCAAAUCCAGACCUGCCCAGACCAGCUAGUCAGGCUGCAUCUGCCUGCGAACUGAGGUGUAUGGAUGGGGGUCAGAAGCUGCCCGAAGGACUCGGUUCUGUGCCCAACUCGUAUGGGAGCCGUGGGGGUUCGGAUCAUGGAAGGAGAGCUGCCCCAGCAGUGCCAUUUCCAGAGAGAACCCUCACCUCCAGACUCGGCCACAUCUCAACAGCCACUUCCUGACAGCCACAGGUUCUCCAGUGGAAGUCGUGUUGGUGCAGUGGUAAGGUGUGGGCUCUGGGGCUGGACCAUCGACAUCCGAUUCCUGCUUUGACUACUUCCUGUGUGACCUUAGGCAAGUUACUUAAUCUCUCUGAGCCUGAGAAGCAGAGUCAAUGCAGGUACACUGCUGAGAACACACAGUACUUGAAGCAUAGCAAGAGCUCGCCUGAAGUUCUCUCUUACUACAAUUCUAUGUUGGGUUGUUCUGGAAACACCCCAUUCCCCCCGACCAGCCACAUGUCCAGGAAUAGUUGGGGUGGGGGGAAGCUUGCAGGCAGGGAGUCGACAGCCUCACUCUUCUUUAUGACCUUCAAGGCCUUGCAGGCUUCCCCCCCGCCCCGGGGGGGGGGUGUCUCUCCAUCCUCACCUCUUCCUUCUCUCCCCCUUAUUCACCUCCUACAUCCACAUCGGCCUUUUAUUCCUCAGACACAUGAGUCUCUUGUGCCCCAGGACAGGGCUUUUGCAGGUGCCAUUCCCUCAGCCCGGAAGUUCUGGGGUAGCUGGCCCCUCCUCACCCCGCAGGCCUUGGCUCAAACGUCACCCCCUCAGAGAGACUGGCCCCGACCCUCUGGACUGUGGGUUGUCUGUCAAGCCCCGGGGGACGCACACAGCAGGCAAGCUGGGGCGGUUUUUCUCCCUCGCCCCUGUGCCAUGAGUGCAGCCAGCACUCAACAUGAUGCAUGUGUGGCCAACAGGAGAAGUACGGCCCCGGGACGUGGUUCCAGAGGCCCCAGGGAAUCCCGUGGGCAGGGAGGAGCCUGGAAGCGGACUGAGCUGGGUGGGAGCCCCCAGGCCCUUCCCAUCUCUGAGCGCCAGCCUCCUCAUCUGUAGACCGGCUCAUCAAGCCUCCCCUGCAGAGCCCUUUCACGGAGGGUGAUGUACGAGCACUUAGCACGGUUCCUGGCACACACCCGGGCAACAGGGGCCUUUAGGACCAGGAUCCAUUCCUUUAGCAGCCUGGCCUUGGGACAGACCCCUUAAGAUGCAAAAGCCAUCUGGAAGGGGCCCUGCUGCACGUGGCUGUCAGUGUCGGGUACUCACGUUUCUCUGACUGGUGUUGGUGGGGGGAGGUGACAGAGGAGGAGGCUGAGUCCCUGAGGCAGGCGUGAAGAAGAGGCUGGCCCUGAGGAGGUGGGGGUGAGGGUUUGAGCUAAGGCAUCCUUCCCCCUCUCCUUCCCCAGAGACGCACUUCAUGACAUCUCAGGUGGGCUCUGGUUCCCCCAGGCUGGGGGUGGAGGGGACCACAUGGACCUUUCCUGAGGCCAAGCCCAGGACAGCCCAGGGUGCAGUGGGUCCACCCUCUCCCCUGCUCACCUCAGUCCCCCAAGAGCAGGCUACCUGGACCCCUGCCUCUGCCCCAGCAAGUCCCAGUGGGAUCUGGCCGCUUAUCAUUCCGCCCUUCCUCUGGCCAGCUCCUCUGGGCCGAUGGCACCGUGCCCCUGGGAGCCCGGCGUGCAUUUCCAAGGAGACAGCCCUGUGUAUGCGCCCGCAAACAUGCACCAUUCGCUUUUCCCGCAGGAGGAGGUGGGAAGGAGGACGCGGGGGCAGAUUGCAAAUGCGAUGCCCUUCACAGUUUGCAGACCCUCUGGCAUGGGCCAGCUCAUUCCAUCCUGGCCAAAAGCCUGUGAGGCAGGUAUUCGUUUUCCCUUUUCACAGACGGGGGAUGGAGAGAGCCGUGUCAAGGACCCCCUGCCAGGUGGCCCACUUUGAUUCUAGUUAGGCGCCCCUGCCUGCCCAGCUUAAAGUGAAAGCCUCGUUCAACCCCUGGUGUCCCUUCCUGCUAGAUGGUGCCUUGAAAAGCAGGCCUGAGUGACCACGGUUGGCAGAAAGAUGGGGAGGCAGCCCCUGAGCACAGCCAAGGAGUGAGGGAAGGGCAGGUGUGACGAGGGAACAGCUCGCUUUAGGGAAGCGGGGGCAGAGAGUGAGAGCGCGGGUAGGAUGGCCUCUUGGGAGAGGAUCCUUGGGACAAACAGGAAGAACAGUCCUUAGGGAUCAGGGUUUGGAGACAGAGGGGACCCUGGGUCAGAGCUUGGGGCACAGACCCACUCUCUUGCUGGGCAUAGAUUUCUUCGCCCGCAAGAAAGUUGAUGGAACGGGUGGCCCAGAACGAGGGGCAGCCCGGUGGCUGUUGUAGCCUGAGGCCAAGGAGUCUCAAGCCUGGUUGGCACUGUUAGAGAAAAUCUGCUGGGGAGAGGUGGGGGGUCUACGCGGGCCGUGGGGAGAGGCCCCGGGGCAGCGCAAGCCCUCCCGGGUCGGGUCUCAGGGAGCAGCUUUGAACUAGCAAACGGAGAGGCUGCAGGGAGAGCGGAGUCUGGGGACAGCAGCGCGCCCUCUGCACGGCUCCCCUUCCUCGGUCUCAUGCUGGACGCAGGCUGUGCUCUGCAUGUGGCUUCCCUGGCA